rnacentral:rRNA from 1 species
CUACGGGGUGCUGCAGUGGGGAAUAUUGGACAAUGGGGGAAACCCUGAUCCAGCAAUGCCGCGUGUGUGAAGAAGGCCUGCGGGUUGUAAAGCACUUUCGGUUGGGAGGACUGCUUCUAGCACUAAUAUUGUUGGAAGUUGACGUUACCUUCAGAAGAAGCACCGGCUAACUCCGUGCCAGCAGCCGCGGUAAUAAGGAGGGUGCAAGCGUUAAUCGGAAUUACUGGGCGUAAAGCGCGCGUAGGCGGCUAGAUCAGUCGGGUGUGAAAGCCCCGGGCUUAACCUGGGAACUGCAUCCGAUACUGUCUAGCUUGAGUACAGGAGAGGAGAGUGGAAUUCCACAUGUAGCGGUGAAAUGCGUAGAUAUGUGGAGGAACACCAAAGGCGAAGGCAGUGCUCUGGCCUGAUACUGACGCUGAGGUGCGAAAGCGUGGGGAGCAAACAGGAUUAGAUACCCGGGUAGUC